UAGUGGUAUGUCACUUCCUAGAUUAGGUUAUAAAAAUAAAAGGUGAGGAAUUGAAACCUUCUGCCAACAGCCAUGUGAACACAUCUGAAAGUGGAUUCUCCUCAGAGCUUCAUUCAAGCUUUCAGAAGACAGCUGUCCCUGCUGACAGAUUGACUGCAACCUCAUGAACCAGAACCAUUUGGCUAAGCAGCUCCUGGAAUCCUGAUCCUCGAAAACUAAGUGAGGGGAGCUGGGAAAGGCCGUCUGACAGCCCAGGAGGAGAGGGUACUAACGUGACUCACUCUAUCCAAACUCUUCCACCAACAGAGGGAGUAGACACCUGCAGGUUGUACAGGUACUGAUUGAAUCUAUAAUCAAGUUCAAUGUCUGGCAGAGCUGGGGAAUUCAGUUGCUGUCCUGCUAAAUAAAGGAAAAAAAGCAAAAAUGAAAGAGAUGCCGGAAAUACGUUGCUGUAAAUGAACCACUGCUAUUGGCAAAAUACUAAUCAUUUCCUCAGCAAGUGUUUAUUAAGCUCUGGUCCUCGGUCCUGGAGAGAGGGUGAUGAAGGAAAGUCUCUCCCCUCGAGCAGCACAGAGCAGAGGAAAAUAACUGCAAAGCCACGUGUCAAGGGCUGUACUGGAGGCAUGUAUAAGGCGCGGGGCGGGGGGUGCACAGAGAGGGAAGCACGUUCUGAGAGGGUGGUCAGGGAAAGAUUUACUGGAAAGACACAGGAUGCAUCUCAAAGGAGGAACAAGAAUUUGCGGUGCAAGCAGCACUUUUCUGAGAGAGGAAAGGGACACCAGAUCUUGGCAGGGCAUAAAGGUUCACACCAACUUUCACACUGAUUUAGUUAAUAAGCUGUUUUCGUAGCAGAACUUUUUUUAUUUCAGUUUUUUUAUUUCAAUUUUUUUUGAUUUUCAAACUUUUUUAUUGCUUUUCUUUAUACUUUAGAGAAAGUGUGUCUGCGGGAAUAUCUAAUAGGAGAGCCAAAGCAAUCUCCCCCCUGUGGAGUCUAAAGCACCCAAGAGGACAUCUUCUGACUCUCCUGCUGACCUAGUUUCCCUAAAAGAUUUCCUAGCAGAACCAUGUGAAUGAGAGCAUGACCAUUAGAAAAAGGGCAUUUUAAACCUCUGGACUCUUUUCAAAUUAAAACCAUACAAAACACUUUUCUGUAGUCAUAGAGCUUAACUUUCGAUUAUUCAGGGACAUGGGGAUAAACAUUAGGAUGAGCGAACCAGGAACGGCAGGGAAGAGAAAAAAGGAAGCACCUGUAGAGUUUUAAAAAUCAGAACAAAAUGAAAGAAUUAAAAUUAAGUAUAUUCGUUUUUACACUAAUUACAAAUGGACUGAAUUUGCCUAUUAAGGUCAGAAACUG